CCUACGGGUGGCAGCAGUGAGGAAUAUUGGUCAAUGGGCGCGAGCCUGAACCAGCCAAGCAGCGUGAAGGAAGACUGCCCUACGGGUUGUAAACUUCUUUUAUAAAGGAAUAAAGUGAGGCACGUGUGCCAUUUUGCAUGUACUUUAUGAAUAAGGAUCGGCUAACUCCGUGCCAGCAGCCGCGGUAAUACGGAGGAUCCGAGCGUUAUCCGGAUUUAUUGGGUUUAAAGGGAGCGUAGAUGGGUUGGUAAGUCAGUUGUGAAAGUGUGCGGCUCAACCGUAAGAUUGCAAUUGAUACUGGCAGUCUUGAGUACGGGUGAGGUAGGCGGAAUUCGUGGUGUAGCGGUGAAAUGCUUAGAUAUCACGAAGAACUCCGAUUGCGAAGGCAGCUUACUAAACUGCCACUGACGUUGAGGCUCGAAAGUGUGGGUAUCGAACAGGAUUAGAUACCCUAGUAGUC
rnacentral:rRNA from 1 species